rnacentral:lncRNA from 1 species
UUUUUUUUUUUUUUGGCUAAUUCUUUUACCACUAAUAUCCCAGACUAGAUGCCACUAUGUCCUGUCGUGUUUCUUGUUUUCCCCAGACAAAAAUGACCCUCUUUGGAUUUCCCAAAAACGCUUGUCACAUGCCCUCAUGCCUUGAUUUAUUAGCUUCUAAACUGAGUUCUUUGAGAGCAGAAACUAAGACUCCUCUUUGGCGUUACAGUACCUAGUAGCAGGUUAUGAACUAAAUUGUUGAAAUCUAAUACCAAGGAAGAUGGUGACAUGACAUCUGUCUGUGGGAGGUUUUCACUUCAGUUUCCCCAGGACUACCCUUUAUCCUAUGCUUUGUCUCCCAAAUGGCAGUGACCAUCUGGUCCUAAAUUCUUUAACUUGGUCAAGGCUUUUCAGACUUCCUAUAGAGACAUCAGAAAUACUAACAUUUUGCUAGCUUGUAUCCCUCAAGAUCUGGAGAUUUGGUGGAAGUUGAAAUUUUGGGGGAUUUCUCAAAAAUCCAUUUACAUUUUAUAUUUUGUAUGUCCUACAACGUCUGAAAAGUUUUCUCCUAAAACUUCUGAAAAAUAUUCAUAAAUUCACAGUUCCAGAGAGGGUAGUUUGAGAAGCAUGGUGCUAAUUACAACCCGUUGUGAGCCCCUUCCUAGUAAGGCAUCGGAUGGCGCUCCUGGAAUUUCUGAAUGAGGAAUUCCUGAAGCCUGGAAAUUAGAUUUGGGGGGCAGUCUUCCGGCAGCAAUCUGCCUAGCAAAAAGUUGUUACUGUUAGGGACUUAGACAUAAUUUAAGCCCAAGUUUUGCUCUGGUAAUUGCUGAUAAAUUGCUGAAAAAAUGCCUCAUAUCUUGCUAAGAAGACAAAAUUGUGAUUGAGAUGUAUCUACGUGCUCUCUGAAGUUCUGUAUAUAUCACCUAACAUUUUUUAAAAAGAUUUUAUUUAUCCACGAGAGACAGAGAGACAGAGACACAGGCAGAGGGAGAAGCAAGCUCCAUGCAGGGAGCCGGACUUGGGACUCUAUCCUGGGACUCCAGGAUCACCACCUGAGCUGAAGGGGGUGCUAAACCACAGAGCCACCCAGGCUGCCCUAUAUCACCCAACAUUAUUUAAAAAGUGUACGCAGAUUUAGAUUGAUUUGCAGGAAUUGUAAACCAGUUUGUGCUUUUCAGUACAAACCUCUCAGGUUGGAGCAACCAUCGACUACAUCUUGAUUUUGGGCACUGACUAGCAUUGAAAAUCAAGAAACAAAUUAACCAAAGACAAAACUAUAUUUUAAGAUACAAGAUUUUCUUAAGAUUAUCUUAAGAUAUACUGAUUUUCCUCCUUGGGAAUAGGUCAGAAUACUGACAAAUGUUCAGUUGAGCUGAAGUCACCAGCUAGUGUGUAGGUGCAGUGGGGCAGCUCCUGUGCAGCAACCCUGUGACAGGUCCAAGGGCUUUUCCCAGAAGAAGGCAUUAAUGGCUUUCUACAAAAAUGCAGUGUUUCCUUAACUUGCUGGGGGGUUGAUAGAUUUCAAUGAUAGAGAUUUGAUACUUAUAUUAGUUGUGUAGGGUGCAUUUUUGCCUUGCAGCACCCAGAGUUCAUCUGGCUGUCAUUUGUCAACCGACUGCACUUUUCAAUUGUUGUCGUAUGAAAGCACCAAGUGAAACUGUAAGGUUAGCAGGGAUCCUGUGUAGCAAUUAUUUUGUCAUAUUGCUUUUACUUUGUGGAGGUAUUUCAAACCUCCUUUUACCCAAACUUGUCCUUUCUUCAAUCUCCCAGGCUCUGAAGUGGCCAUUGUUAAUAUACAAACACCAUUUAAAGUCUUUUUUUCUGAUUAAUGUAGCCACAGGCCUACUUCUUACAAGGUGUAUCUCAUGGGAAAAAAAUUUCUUCUAUAAUCUUUAGAGAAAAAAAUAAUUUUUCCCUGUUACCAAAGUAACAUAUUGGGUUGAUCCAGAAAAUAUACUUAAGUAAAAGGAGAAAGAUUAGAAUAAUCUAUAAUCCCACUACUCAAUUUUCAUGGCCAUUCUUCUAGACUCUUUCCAUAUGUCUAUCUUUUCCCAGAUAUGAGAUCAUACAGUGCACGCUGCUUUAUUCUCUUACAGUCUUCUACAACUUCGAUUUCAAUGACCUACCCUGUGGAUGGACCUUGGUUUAUUUAACCAGUGGGCUGUUGCCCACAGGUUACCAGACCUAAGAACCUACCUCUAGAAAGGGACUGGCUGUCACCUGGAUGCACCCUAACAGCCCCCACAGUAUGAUGUUCUCUUGUCUCCUAUUGGUCAGGGCAUGAGUACAUUUGUGAUUAAAUGAGGGAUUGGUGGAUUAUGUCACAUGAGGGAAUCUUUGGGAUUAGAUGUUUCUGCUAAUGGAGCAGAGGAUACCAGCUGAGUGGCCAAACCCUGCUUGGAGCAUCAUCCCAUGUCACUCUGGAGUGAGAAUGCCAUCAUGGUGGAGGCUCUGGUGUGCUGCUCUGACCACCACCACCCCUGCAGUUUCUGGGCACUCAUUCCCCUCGUUGCCAACAGGUCAUAGAUAAAAUUCAUUUCCAGAAACUCCUUAGCUAAAAGGACCCACCAUGAUCACGUGACCCACCAAGGUCACGGCCCUUUCCCUGGGGUAGUUUUCAUCCAACGAUUGGAUGAUGAGGAGCUAUAAUUACCUGCCCUCUUACCCUCAGUUUGGGACAACUCUUCAGGGCUCUUCCAGUUCUAGAGCUCUGUGUGGCCUGUGCUGAGGCCUGUGUUGGGACUGUAGGGCUGCUCUGCUCUCUCUACCCAGCUCUGCUUUCCUCUUUUCACCCCCAAAGGUGCAUCUCCCACCAGGACCUUCCAGUAACCUUCCUCCUUGCACAUGGCCCGCUCAGUGUCUGCUUCCGGGGGAACCCAAUCUGUGGCAGGCACUAAGUUUACAUUUUUGGCCUGACAAAGAGUUUAUGUGCAUAGUGUGUCUUACAGAGAGACAAUACAAGUUAAAAAAUAUCAGUUCUAAUUGCAAUACUUACAGGUUUCUCCACAAUACUUACGUGGCUACAUAGCUAGCCUUUCCAAGUGGAGUCAGAUCCAGCCUGGAGCUCUCACUUGAGGAAGUCAACAAGAAGUGUUCUGUGUUUGCCAUUUCCUAGGACUCUUACCCCAUCAUUUGGUUGUCCCAGGUCUGAGCCCGGUUGAUGGGGAGGUGGAUGGGUCCCUCCCAGGCAGGCCGUGCAUCUCGGGGCGCCCCUCACCGUGUGCUGGCUGUGGACCAUCCGUGCUCCCUCGGUACUGAUACGGGUCCACGGCCCCCUGUGUGGCCACACGUGCCCUUCUCUUUAUGGAGGAGGAAAAAGACUUUUACAACCUAUUUCCUCUCUUGAAAUUUGAGGCUUUAUUCCACAGUUUCCUUAUUCACAACGAGGGGAUUUUAUCCCUUACGCAGUGACGCUGGCUCCUGGCCAGUCUGGAGCAGCCUCAGGAGAGUGCAGGGCCGUGGCCCAGCUGGCUGACUUCACGUUUCCCUGGAGAGGAAACAGCUGUCACCUUCUCCACUCAGGAAGCACAGGUGUAGAAGUGACCUCUGAUUCCUUUGCUGGGGGUCGGCGACUCAGUUUUUAGGAGGAUUCCUACCUCUUUUUCCUGGUUUAGGUUCCAAGAUGGGCCCCCUCCUCCCCUACAUUAUGUUGGGUACAAAGCCACUGCCAACAGAAGGAUCAAAGUACAGUUUAGCUACCGUUAUGGGUUCAGUUGUGCGCCCCACCCCCCAUCCCCAAAGAUAUGUUGAAGAAUUAACUCCAGUACCUCUGAGUGUGACUCUUUGGAAAUAAGAUCUUUGCAGAUGUACCGAGUUCAGAGGAGGUCAUCCCGGAGAAGGGUGGGCCCUUUAUCCAAUAGGGUUGGCAUCCUUAUAAGAGAAAGAGAGAUCCAGAGACACAGACUCAGGAGAGGAGAACGCCACGUGAUGCCGAAGUGGACCCUAAGGUGCUGCAGCCGCAAGACUGGGAACCCCAAGGACCAGAGUAGGAGGAGGCCAGGAAGGAUUCUCCUUUAUGGGUCUCAGAGGAGCCUGGCUCAGCUGAUACCUUCAGGUUAGACUUCUGGACUUCGACAGCAUGAGACAAUAAAUACAUUUCUGCUGUAAUGUAUUUCUGACAUUCUGUCAGAAUUCUGUAUCCCCCUCAUUUGUGGUACUUUGUUACCUUAAGGAAGUCAGUAAUGGGAACAUCCCUAAGGAAAUGAAUACAGCCAUUAUUGCAAAACCUUUAACUAGAUAGCUCUGGUUUUCUCUCUUGUGGUCCAGAGCUUGAUCCAGGCACUACUCCAAAAGUAGCGCACUUAUAACUGCUUAGAGAGGCCUCCUAUUUAGAUCUUCUGAGAGGGAUUAUUGCAGCUCUAAUAGAGUUGAACACAUGGGCAUGGCUUAGGCACUGAGAGGUCCAAUUCUAGCUUAGUGAGGCUGAAAGAAAAGCUAACAGGGUAGCUGGGGGACUGUGAAGUCACUGUUUAGAUUUGGCUGGGGCCCGGGAGGGGCUUCCUUGUAGGACCCUAUGUAUCUGUUUAGUAGAGCC